ensembl:lncRNA
AAGGGGAGGCAAUGUUCUCUUUCUGGAGAUCUCUGUAUACCUGAGGGCUUCUCAAGGCUUUCCUCUGUUGUAAGCAAAUGCAUUGUGCACUCUGACAGCCUGAAUAAGGCAAGGUUGCACUGGCAACAAAGUAACCUGUUAGUGUUACAGAGGAUAACACCGAGUUGCUGAAGAUCAUAAAAUGCCCAUAAAAAAGAAGAAAGAGUAUGUAAAUAAAGCAAGUAAGAUAACAACAAGAGCACUAAUUUUUCAUGCCCCUUUGGGACUGCUUUGGACUGCUGAAAGCAAGAGAUAAGAUCACUGGAUUCACCUGGAGAUUACAUUUACUUCAGAUAUGUGCAGAAGGGACUCAUGAGAAAAGGAAGUAUUUACAUUCUGGCAUGUUAAUGAGUUUCCAUCUUUUUUUUCACCUCUCUUUCCCCUUGUUCACUCUUGUAAUGUUUGUUUGUUUGUUUUCCAUCUGUUAAAAGAUGGGGAAUAUAUAUCCGCUUCACUGGCAUUGCAAGCACAUAUACAC